rnacentral:rRNA from 1 species
AACGAACGCUGGCGGCAGGCUUAACACAUGCAAGUCGAGCGCCCCGCAAGGGGAGCGGCAGACGGGUGAGUAACGCGUGGGAAUCUACCGUGCCCUGCGGAAUAGCUCCGGGAAACUGGAAUUAAUACCGCAUACGCCCUUCGGGGGAAAGAUUUAUCGGGGUAUGAUGAGCCCGCGUUGGAUUAGCUAGUUGGUGGGGUAAAGGCCUACCAAGGCGACGAUCCAUAGCUGGUCUGAGAGGAUGAUCAGCCACAUUGGGACUGAGACACGGCCCAAACUCCUACGGGAGGCAGCAGUGGGGAAUAUUGGACAAUGGGCGCAAGCCUGAUCCAGCCAUGCCGCGUGAGUGAUGAAGGCCCUAGGGUUGUAAAGCUCUUUCACCGGUGAA